rnacentral:tRNA from 2 species
GCCGGUUUAGCUCAGCGGGAGAGCGUCUGCCUUACAAGCAGAGGGCCGGGGGUUCGACUCCCUCAACCGGUAC